GUCAACAGCUCCAGGCAAAACCGCACAUCCGGGUGGAGGUAGGAGGUGCGGGUGCUGCCUAAAUGGCAGGUCUGUUAGUCUCAGCCCUGAACCACCUCACCUGGCAGCAGGCCCACCAGACAGCACGGCAUAGAGGACUACUGCCCGCCACACCAUCGAAUCUCACAAAAUCCAACCAGGCCAGGGCAGAGGCAGCCAAGGAAGGAGCUGGGUUCCCUGACAUUGGUGUGGGGGCAAAGUGCAUCUCGGGUCUCUCCUUGGCCCAUUCUGUCCCCGGGGCUGUAGCUGCCUGGGUCAUUGGGAGUUGUCACAGCCUCCUGCUCCAACCCUACCAGACACAAGUCCCAGCCACUCAGAGGGAUGCAAGCACAGGUCUGUGUGACACCAUGGGGCAGAGUCCAGUUGUGGGAGCACGUCCAGCCUCCAUCAGAAUGGCCUGGGGUUCCAACACUUCCCAGCUGUAGAGACUGAGCUGGGUGGUGGGCAGCCGCCAGCUUUCCUACCACACAGACCUCAUAAGCCGGAAGGGGGAGGUUGAGGCUCACAGGGGAUGGAGACCGUUGGAAGCAGGCAUCUUUGACCUCUCUGUCCCUGGCAGCAAAAUCUGGGCCUCAUGUCUCAACAGGUAUGGGGCUCCCCCGCCCCCAUCCCCAGGCUCCCAAUUCCAAGCUAUGGCCUCCAGGCUGCAAGAGCCGGAGAACAAGGUGCCCACGUCGAUGUUCCUCUCAUCCUAGGAAAGAUGGAGGUGGAGUGGGCUGACCCAGUUCCCCUGCUCAGCCACAUCUGUCUUGUUUACCUUCCUUCAUCAAGGAGACAGGCACUGGGUGUGUGUGUGUGGGGGGGGGGGAGCACUAAGGGGAGGAGGUGACAGAGGUCAGCAUUAGCAACUCCAGCACGUGGCUGUGAAGCACAGAAGGCCACUGGCUCAAGGUAGCCAGGGGGUUAGAACCUGUCCACACUCCUGACUUGUGGGCUUUGACCCCAGCCCUGAGUUCUGGUACCAACCAGCACUGUAUUGCACAUCCAGAGAAUUUGAAGAUGGACAUCUCGUCCCAGCAGCAUCCCUACAUAGGGGAAAGGAGAAGGGGAAAGCCAUGAAGCCGGCCUGCAGUCUCCUAGUGGGCCCUGCGGCCCAGGGCUUUAGUGUGUGUGGUUUUGAGAGACUGUCACAGGGACCUGGGACUUGCCAGGGUCUCCUGACUGGCUGGCUGGAGACCCCAGCACAGACCACUGUGUUCUGUGCCUUGCACAAGUGCUGGGCAUCAAACUCAGAUCCCCCUACUUGCGCAGCAAGCACUUACUGAUGGUACUUCUUCCCCAUGGCCCUCCAGGAAGGUGAGCAUGUGGGGUCUGCAGACUCUGCACCCAGCCAGGCAGGUCCAGCAGGCUCACCCCAGGGAAUCUCUGUUGCUCUGGGCUGCCCCCUGCAGGCUCAGCCAACCCUGCCAUGCUAGUGAGCCAUCUCUGUGUCCUGCUUGACCUUGGUACCCAUAGCUCCCUGCCAGACUGUGUCCAUCCGUGCAGCGGUAUCUGGGAAGAGGCAAAGCAGGCCAGAGGCUCAGCCCUGCCAGGGCCUGGAGAGAAGAACGGUGGCAGAGGGGACCCACGGGGACAGGAGAAAAGGAGACACGUGCUUGUUACACACUCAUCUGCAGGCUUUACCCCCAAGGCUCUGGGCCCCCACCACAGCUACACUGUGACCCAACUUCCCCCUUCAGAGAGUCCCAGAGGCCCCCAUAACCGCCCCCACAGACUUGGGCUUCUCUCCUCCAUCCUUGAGGUGGCCUCGAGGGCCCCAGUGGAUCCUUCUCAUUGGCUCAGCCCAAGAGGCAGCCGGCCAGGAGAGGCGUGGGGGUGUGGGAAAGGCCCUCCCCAUCUGUAGACUGGACACUGGAAUGUGCUGAGCAGAGCCAGGCCUAAUCCCCAUUCAUCCCCUUGAGGCCACUGAGCCACUGCAGCGGGGCAGCCCUGGGAUGGAAGGGGACUGGAUCAGGGACACAUUCCCAGUAUGGUAGACAGUUGAUGGAUGGUCAGACUGAGGUCAUAAGGUCAGCCAGGGUUCUAUAGGAGGACACACUUUCUUCACUCUUUGAGACCGAUGGGGUCAGUGUGAGGCUCUGGAGUAUGGGAGUUGGGGGGGGCCCUGGUUACACCCUCCCUACAAAGAUGGGUGAUGUAUCCCCAGAUGUGCACAAGACCCUGAAUAGUGCUGGUGGCAGAGCUAGGUAGACCUGGGGAAGUAUGUUGAAAGGACCAGUGUAUUCACUGAUGAACCCAGGGCAAGAGCGCUGCCACUAAGCCAUGUACCCAGCCCCCUCUCCAGCAGGGUUAGCCUGAGGGGGGAGGAAAAAUGGGGCACAGAGGUCCAUGUGACCCAGACAAGGCCCCUAGAGGUGGGGCCCCCAUGCCCCGCCCCAGCGGGCUCUGCUAUAUCUCCAGCUGCCUCAUCCCCACACCCAGUGGCUGAGGGCAAUGACACUGCAGUUCGAAGCCUUCUGUGCAGGGGGUCUGGCCCCUGGCUGGAGCCUGACUGUCCAGGGACAUGCAGAUGCUGGAGAAGAGAAGUUCGAGAUCAACUUCUUAACAGACGCCGGAGACAUCGCCUUCCACGUCAAACCUCGAUUCUCCAGCGCCACGGUGGUGGGCAAUGCUUUCCAGGGAGGACGGUGGGGGCAGGAGGAGGUGUCCAGCAUAUUCCCACUGACUCUGGGAGAGCCCUUUGAGAUGGAGGUGAGUGCAGACGCAGAACACUUCCACAUUUAUGCCCAGGAACAAAAGGUGCUCCAGUUCCCACAUCGGCACCGACCGCUGGCCACCAUCACCAGAGUGCGAGUGCUCAGUGAGCAUCGGCUGGCCCAGGUGGAGCUGGCCAAGCGGAGCCUGAGCUGGGGGUAAGGUGCCCGCCAUGUCCUCACACACUAACCCAGGUGGAAUUGGCCAAGUGGAGCCUGAGCUGAGGCGAUGGGGGCUACUGAGCAGACUGGACCACAGCCUACAAGAGCCAGCCUUGACCAUCCUGCAUCCCCUUCUACCUGGAGCCACGGGACACACACUACACACGUUAUAGAUGCUGGGAAGCUGAGGCUCUGUGUGAACCCCGAGCUUUACCUUCAAUAAAAUAUGAGCAGGUUACAGUC